rnacentral:lncRNA from 1 species
AAUCACGGGAUCAGAGAACGGCAGAAUGGCGGGAUCAUGGAGUGACACAGGAUCACAUGGAAUCACAUGGAAUCAUGGGAUCAGGGAAUGGCAGAAUGGCGGGAUCAUGGAGUGACACGGGAUCACAUGGAAUCACAUGGAAUCACAUGGAAUCACAUGGAAUCACGGGAUCAGGGAAUGGCAGAAUGGCGGGAUCACAGAGUGACACAGGAUCACAUGGAAUCAUGGAAUCAUGGAAUCAGGGAAUGGCAGAAUGGCGGGAUGAUGGAGUGACACAGGAUCACAUGGAAUCACAUGGAAUCAGGGAAUGGCAGAAUGGUGGGAUUGCAGGAUCAUGGAGUGACACAGGAUCACAUGGAAUCACAUGGAAUCACGGGAUCAGGGAAUGGUGGGAUUGCGGGAUCACGGAGUGACACAGGAUCACAUGGAAUCACGGAAUCAGGGAAUGGCGGGAUGAUGGAGUGACACAGGAUCACAUGGAAUCACGGAAUCAGGGAACGGCAGAAUGGCGGGAUCAUGGAGUGACUCAGGAUCACAUGGAAUCACGGAAUCAUGGAAUGGCGGGAUGGUGGGAUCAUGCAGUGACACAGGAUCACACAGAAUCAUGGAAUCAGGGAGUGGCAGAAUGGUGGGAUGGCGAGGUGAUACAGGAUCACACGGAAUCACAUGGAAUCAGGGAAUGGCAGAAUGGUGGGAUUGCGGGAUCAUGGAGUGACACAGGAUCACAUGGAAUCACAGGAUCAGGAAAUGGCAGAAUAGCAGGAUGGCGGGAUUGUGGGAUCAUGCAGUGACACAGGAUCACAUGGAAUCAUGGAAUCAGGGAAUGGCAGAAUGGCGGGAUCUCAGGGUUGGGGGAUCACGGAGUCACACAGAAUCAGGGAAUCACAGAGAAUCAGGGAAUUACAAAAUGGCGGAAUCUCGGUAUUAUGGAAUCACAGAAUCACACAAUCACGGAAUCACAGAAUCACACAGAAUCAGGGAAUCAUGGAAUCACACAAUCAAACAAUCACACAGAAUCUUACAGAAUCACACAAAUCAAUCACACAGGAUCACAGAGGAUCUCACAGAACCACACACAAUCACACAGUAUCACAGAAUCACACAAUCAGGGAAUCGCACGGAAUCACACAGUCAAUCACAGAAUCACAGGAUCCCACAGAAUUCUCACAAUCACACAAACCCUGGGUUGGGAAAGCCCUUCAAGGCCCUGGAGCCCAGCGCAGCCCCUGGCACCCAGUGCCACCUCCAGGCUGGUCAAACACACCCAGGGAUGGNAAUAAUAAUAAUAAUAAUAAUAAUAAUAAUAAUAAUAAUAAUAAUAAUAAUAUCACCUGACUUUUCACCUUAUCAACUGACUUUUCAUUCUCAAGACUAUUUUUGCCAUCUUGAGAGUGACAAGUCAGUUAAUAACAAAUUAUUUAUUCCCGGGUAAAAAACAGGCUGUGCCUGUAAUAAGAAGAGAUCUGUUCCUUGAGAAUGAGCAGAAAGGGUGUGGAAAUGGACUAAAAAUAAAGAAGUCUGACUGAUAUGUGAAAUAUUGAUG